AUUGAACGCUGGCGGAAUGCUUUACACAUGCAAGUCGAACGGCAGCACGGGUGCUUGCACCUGGUGGCGAGUGGCGAACGGGUGAGUAACAUAUCGGAACGUAUCCAAUAAUGGGGGAUAACUAAUCGAAAGGUUGGCUGAUACCGCAUACGCCCUACGGGGGAAAGCUAGGGACCUUCGGGCCUGGCGUUAAUGGAGCGGCCGAUAUCUGAUUAGCUAGUUGGUGGGGUAAUGGCCUACCAAGGCGACGAUCAGUAGCUGGUCUGAGAGGACGACCAGCCACACUGGAACUGAGACACGGUCCAGACUCCUACGGGAGGCAGCAGUGGGGAAUUUUGGACAAUGGGCGCAAGCCUGAUCCAGCCAUUCCGCGUGAGUGAAGAAGGCCUUCGGGUUGUAAAGCUCUUUCGCAAGGGAAGAAAACUUAUCCUCUAACAUAGGAUGAGGUUGACGGUACCUUGAUAAGAAGCACCGGCUAACUACGUGCCAGCCGCCGCCGUAAUAC
rnacentral:rRNA from 1 species